rnacentral:rRNA from 1 species
CACGUAGGGUGCGAGCGUUGUCCGGAAUUACUGGGCGUAAAGGGCUCGUAGGUGGCCAACUAAGUCAUACGUGAAAUCCCUCGGCUUAACCGGGGAACUGCGUCUGAUACUGGAUGGCUUGAGUUUGGGAGAGGGAUGCGGAAUUCCAGGUGUAGCGGUGAAAUGCGCAGAUAUCGGGAGGAACACCCGUAGCGAAGGCGGCACUCUGGGCCGGUACUGACGCUGAGGAGCGAAAGCGUGGGGAGCAAACAGG